AUUGAACGCUGGCGGCAGGCCUAACACAUGCAAGUCGAACGGUAACAGGAAGAAGCUUGCUUCUUUGCUGACGAGUGGCGGACGGGUGAGUAAUGUCUGGGAAACUGCCUGAUGGAGGGGGAUAACUACUGGAAACGGUAGCUAAUACCGCAUAAUGUCGCAAGACCAAAGAGGGGGACCUUCGGGCCUCUUGCCAUCGGAUGUGCCCAGAUGGGAUUAGCUAGUAGGUGGGGUAACGGCUCACCUAGGCGACGAUCCCUAGCUGGUCUGAGAGGAUGACAGGCCAACUGGGAACGGAGACAGGGACAGGCCCCCGCGGGGAGCGAGCAGGGGGGAAUUUUGCAAAAGGGGCGAAAGCGUGAUACAGUUGGGCCGGGUGUAUGAAGAAGCCCUUGGGUUUGUAAAGUCCUUUGAGGGGGGGGAAAGGGAAAAAAUUUAAUCCCUUUGCUCUUUGACGUCCCCCGAAAAAGAAGCCCCGGCUAACCCCGUC
rnacentral:rRNA from 1 species